CCCAAAUGGGGCAAGCAGAGGGUAGAGAGUGGUGAAGGUCAGGGGAGAGUUCAUGAAAGACAUCAAGGCCGAGCUGGAAAUUUAAGCCUGAUCAGUAGGAGUUAGUCUCAUUGAGAAAACUGAAGGAACCAUGCAAGGGCAUUUGGGGCCAAGAAAACAACAAGUAGAAAGUUUCUCACAAGUAUACAGUGGAAUUUUCCAGAGGCUCCAUGACGACCUAUGAUAUCAAACCAGCUUGAAUGCAGAAGCUGAUAGAGAAUCUAGUUGUCUCCUACUAAGCCAGACAUUAAAAAGAUUUGCAAAGCAAUACCCUCUGUUGUUUAAUCAGUUCUCCUUUGAAGAAUGGUCAUUUUAAUAAAAAAAAAAUUGUGUUGAUGUUAA